rnacentral:lncRNA from 1 species
UCCGAAGUGCUCUUUCAAUAACGACAAUGGGCUCCAAGCUCAAUUCAAAGCCGAACAAGCACCAACUAGUUAAAUAAGGCAAGAACUAGUCAAUAAAUGCUCACAAAGUUCAAUUCUAACUAAUAUAUGUGAUUUUCCAACCUUUACCGCAAGUUUCCUCAAUUUCGACCCCGGGCCCACGUGCCCGCAUUCCGAGAUUUUUUGAAGGAAGUUAUUUUGUAUAACCUAAGGAUAACUAAUAUGUGAUUUUUAGUUUAUUACAUAGCUAAUUAGGUGGUUAAAUCUUAAUUUUUACCAAAAUCUAGGUCUAACUCUAACCCUUGAUUUUAUUGGAUUAUUAGUGUUAAAUCUUUCUAAUGUCUGAGUAUUUAAGCUAAGAUUGAGUGGGGAUUACUUACCUUGUGAUGUUAUUUUGUAACCCUCCCUUUGAAAGCUCCCAAAUCGCCACAAAGUCGAAUGAGAAAUGAGAGAAAAGGGGUUGGAGUUCGUAUUUAAUGAACCCUCUGCCCCAGCGAUUUUCGCUUCUGCGGGUGCUUUUCCGCAUCUACGGAAAAUAGCCGCUUUUGCGGUUUGGGGAAGAGCUAGCCGGACCGCUUCUGUUGUCAAUUGUUCGCAAAGUCAGGACCGCUUAUGCGGUUCCCCUACCUUCCCCCUUUUCGCUUCCGUAUCCACUAGACCGCUUUUGCGGUCUAAGAGCCGCAUAAGCGGUUUUGAUAGAAGCUGCAGAUGAUGUUCUCCUUUAAUAAGUUUCAACAUCACUCAAACCUCAACCAUUUGACGCUCGGGGCUCCUGAGCCCCGCUCAAACAUACCGACAAAUCUAAAAUCACUAGGCGAACCUAGCCGAUCCCUCGCAAAACCCAAAACAACACUAAAUCAAAGAAUUGGACCCCAAAACCAAUUGAUUUAACUUAAUGAACUUCAAGUUCCUAAUUUCCUUCCAACGGGUCAAAACGCCCUUAAACGAUUCGGAUUGACACCAAAUUUUACGGGUAGGUCUUAUAUGAUAUGUCAGACUUGUACCAAGUUUCAGAAUUGGAAUCCGAACCCAUACACUAGGUUAUUAAUAAAUUAUCAGAUUCUUUAAUUCCUUAAAACUUCAAUUUAAUAAUUUUUUCCAUAAAAAUUCCAUACUCCGGCUAGGGUCCUCGGAAUUCGAUUCUGAGAAUAUGCCCAGGUUCCAUAUUUUUUCAUGGACCUUCCGAGACUAUCAGAUCACAAAUCUGGGUCCAUUUCCUAAGAAAGUUGACCGGGGUCGAACUUGGCUUUUUAAGAAAACCUUAAAGGAGUAUUUGGUCUUUAUUUUCACUCAGAAUUUUCUAACUUACGAACUAAUCGCUCUAGCAAGUCAUUAUUUAGCUAAGGAAGGCAUGGGGAGUUUUAUUUAAGGGGACGGGGUCCUAAAUAGUAAAACGACUGAUCGGAUCGUUACAAUUGGAUUUGUAUUUCUUGCAUAUUUGAAUAUGAGAACUUUGCACCAUAAGGAUGUGGGUGUGAUAAAUACUCCAGGCCAGGUUACUGAGUGCAACCAAAUGUUUUGUAGUAGCAUCUUUUAUGCAAAGCCCUCCAUCUUCUUUACUUGUAGUAAUAGUAUUCCAAUUGACAUAGUGCACUUUCUUGGCCUCAUUAAUGGAACCCCAGAUGAAUUUAUGCUGCAUACGGUCAAUUUAGUUUAAAGUUUUGGUGGCGAGAUGGGUAUAUUGCGUUACAUGACUAGGAUAGCAUUAAGAGUUUAUGUUGCUAGGGUGGUUAUACCCACUAUAUUUAGAAAAUUGGCAUUCCAGGAAGACAAUUUCCUUUGCAUAUUGUCAAUAAUAUAUUGGUAAUCCCUAGGGUUAAGAUGAUUUUGAAGAAUUGAAAAUUCCAUGUAUUUGCAAAAGGUGUUGCUAAUGGUGAUAAAUAAAAUCUUGAGCAACUUCUUUAGAAAUAGUUGUGGAGAAAUUUUUGGGGAAGAUUAUUUUUGAUUAUUGCAGGUUGAUGUUUUGCCAUAAGAAGGAGCGGAAUAUUGAAAUGCUCCUUUUAAUAGUGCUACAAGAUUUCUUGUUUACCUUACCCAUAAGGGAAAGGUCAUCCACAAAGAAUAAAUGUGAAAUACCAGGAUUAUUUGGACUAAGGUGUAUGAGAUCCCAGUUAUGGAUAUUUACUUGAUGGAAAAAUAAACAUGAAAACAUUUUCAUGCAUAGAAUGAAAAUAUAAGGUGUGACGACCUAAAGGAGUCAUCACCUAUUUUUGUAUGUAUUAUGUGUUUCUGAGGGCUUGAAAACCUUAGUUAGGGUUGCCUUGAUUUGCGUGCACAGUCCAGGCGCGUAUCCAAAAUGCUUAAAUGUAAAUUCUAUGAGAAAAUGCUAAAGUUUGAUAUUUAAAAUGAUUAAAUUUGACUUCGGUUAAUAUUUUGGGUAAACGAAUCGGACUCGGACUCCUGAUUUGACAGCUCCGGAGGGCUCGUAGUAAAAUAUGGGAUUGGGCGUAUGUCCGAAAUCGAAUUCCGAGAUUCCAAGCCCGAGAAAUGAAUUUUUGAGUAGAAUUAUUUUCGGAAAAUAAUUAUGAAAAUUGGAAAUGAAAUUCAAUUGGAAAAUUUUGGUAUCGGGCCCGUAUUUUGGUUCCGGCACCCGGUACAAAUCUUAUAUAUAAGUUAAAAACCUUCUGUAAAGUUUGAUUGAAAAUGAACGUACUUUGAGGUGUUUCGGACUUAAAAUAGAACUUUGAUGUUUUAUGAAAAAUUUUGGAUGAAAUUAUGAGUUUUGAGGCUUGAUUUUGUGUGUAUGAUGUUAUUUUGGCGAUUUGAUCACACGAAUAUGUUCAUAGGGUGCGCUUAAGGUUGUGAGAAUGUAUGGUUUGGAGCCCCGAGGGUUCGGGUGAGAUUCAAGUAGGUCCCGGGAUGCCUUAGAGCUAAAAUAUCAGAUGUUGCAGGUUCAGGAAAAUUGGACAGGUCUCUGAACCCUUCAACGCAGUCCGCGAGGACACGAGUGCAGUCGCAGAGGGGCCAACACAGCCGCGGUCACUUUUGAGCGGUCUAUAGUGGGUGGUGCACGUCCCCGAUCGGUCUGGUGCGGUCUGCACUGGGCAAUGAUCCACAGGCCUUCAGCAACCUAUGCAGUUGCAGUUCCUUUUGCGCAGUCCGCACGAGGACAUUCAGAGGGGUAUAAAUACACGUGAAUUUUAGUUAUUUUUCACUUUUCAAAAACCCAAAACAUAAGUGGCGAUUUUCCAAACAACUCUUCUUCUCCAAAACGAUUGGUAAGUCAUUCUAACUUAUUUUCUUCACUCAUUAACAAAUUUUAACAUGAUUUUGAUUGUAAAUCAAAGACUUUCAUUGGGAAAUUGGGAGUUUUGGGUAGAACCUAGGUUUUUUAGAAUUUGACGCUUGGGGUCCAAUUUCAAAACUAAUCAUAUAUUCGGAUUAGUGGAGGAAUGGGUAAUCUGGUUUUGGUCCGAACCUCGAGUUUGAUCACGUCGGCCUGGGGGCAUUUUUGACCUUUUUGGGUAAACCUUGUAAAACUUAUUUUCAUGCACUAGGUUGACUCAUUUACAAUUUAUUAAUGUAACUAAGCAGCUUGUGAUUAGAUUCGAGUAGUUUAGUGGUGGAAUCAAAGCUAUACUUGAGACUUGAGUGGUGCUCAAGGCAUCGAGGUAAGUGUUUGAUCUAACCAUAGCUUGAGAGAUUAGGAGUCAAGUCAUAUGUGCUACUUGUUUUGUGUUGUGUACGACGUAUAGGCAUAAUGACGAGUAUCUAUACGUUGGUGUCGAGCAUGAACGUGAGUCUUGAAUUAAAAGUUGGUGUGUUCUUAAGUGACAUUUUGUAUGCUUUAACUGAUGACCUUCUACGUUGAGUGGAGAUUUGUCUUUUCCUCGUAAAUCCAAUUGAGAUUGAGCUUCACUAUUAAUUGAGUUGAGCACUAAUUAAAUUGAAAUUUGUUAUAGUUGCUUCUCCUUGCCGGGAUGAUUACUCUGAUAUUUGUUCCAUUGCCAGAAAAUUAUUAUCUGCCUAUAUUCCCUUGCCGGGAUUUCUUGUAACCAUGUUUGAAAUGAAAUGGGAGUGGGUGGUACGCCUCCCACAAGAUAUGAUAAAAUGGGAAUCGGUGGUACGCAUAUCAUAAGAUAUGUUAAAAUGGGAGCGGGAGGUACGCUUUCCACAAGGCAUGAUGAAAUGGGAUCAGGUUGCACGCCUUCAACAUGAUGAAACUAAAAAUGAAAGUUGUUUAGUUUCCCUUAUUCUGUGAUAUAAGUUAUCAAUUUAGUUUUCCCUUAUUAAUCCUAAUGUUCUGUCUUUACCACUUACCCCCCCCCCCAAAGCAUGCUUUCCCUUCCAGCUUUAAAAUUUUUAUUUUCCGCUAUUUCUCUAUUGUAUUUGUAUANNNNNNNNNNNNNNNNNNNNNNNNNNNNNNNNNNNNNNNNNNNNNNNNNNNNNNNNNNNNNNNNNNNNNNNNNNNNNNNNNNNNNNNNNNNNNNNNNNNNNNNNNNNNNNNNNNNNNNNNNNNNNNNNNNNNNNNNNNNNNNNNNNNNNNNNNNNNNNNNNNNNNNNNNNNNNNNNNNNNNNNNNNNNNNNNNNNNNNNNNNNNNNNNNNNNNNNNNNNNNNNNNNNNNNNNNNNNNNNNNNNNNNNNNNNNNNNNNNNNNNNNNNNNNNNNNNNNNNNNNNNNNNNNNNNNNNNNNNNNNNNNNNNNNNNNNNNNNNNNNNNNNNNNNNNNNNNNNNNNNNNNNNNNNNNNNNNNNNNNNNNNNNNNNNNNNNNNNNNNNNNNNNNNNNNNNNNNNNNNNNNNNNNNNNNNNNNNNNNNNNNNNNNNNNNNNNNNNNNNNNNNNNNNNNNNNNNUAUGAGACCACAUCUAUUGAUGCAAUUUCAGAGAUUAUAUAUAUAUAUAUAUAUAUAUAUCUGGAGUUUGAGUCUAGCCUCGUCACUACCUCACUGGGGUUAGGCUAGACACUUACCAGCACAUAGGGUCGGUGCUGCUGAUGUUACGCUUUGUGCUCUUUUGCAUAGAUCUCGGUAUUGGAGCAGCUUUUGAGCAGCAGUAGUAGAUCAGGAGCGAGCCUUCAGUCUAGAGAUACCGAGGUAGCAUUACUGACGUCCGUAGGCCCGGAGUCUCAUUUAUAUUUAUUUCAGUUUGUUAUCCUUUGUACCAAACAAACAUUUUAUGAUUUCUUUCAGACGAUUGCAUCUAGUAGUGUUAGAGGUUCGUGAGUACUGUGACACUAAUCUUGGGUAGAGGAUUUUGGUGAUUUUUGCGCUUUUUUUUUAUUCAGUUUUUCUUUUAUAAAUUAAGACUUCCGCUUGAACCUUAAAUUCUAUUGCCUUUACUUUUAAAUGUUUAUAACUAUGACAAAAAAAGGAAUGUGUGUUAAAUGGAAAGCAAUUAAGUUGACUUGCUUAGCUCCUAUUAGUAGGCGUCAUCACGACCCUGAGGGUGAGAAAUCCGGGUAGUGACAUAAGGGGAUAGGGGGCAUCCUUGCCUGAUACCCCUACUAUAACUAAAAAGGGAUAUAGUUGAUCCAUUAAUGAGAAUAUCAAUGUUACUAGUUGUUACAGAAUGAAUGAUUAGUUUGGAUAUAUAUGGUGGAAAAUUGAAGAAUCUGAGCAUACGACAGAUGAAUGACCAUUAAAGACGGUCAAAGACUUUUUCUAAAUCAAGCUUAAGAAUCAUAUUAUACUUUUUCCUUUUGGUCUUUUUGAAUUUGUUCACGAUUUCUUGGACAAUUAUAGCAUUGUCACUUGUUCUUCUUCCUUUGAUGAAGCUUUAUUGAAAGGGACUGAUCAGAUCAUUUAGGAAAGGCUUAAUUAUAUUUGCAAUUAUUUUUGUAAUAAUUUAAUAGAUCGUAUAGUAAAGACCAAUAGGGAAUUUUUUUUAAAGUUAUUAGCAUUAACAGUUUUUGGAACAGGCAAAUAUAAGUAUUGUUAGAGCCGGAAGAGUGUUCGUGCGAAAAACUUGAAGUCAAAAUUGUAUAACUGAAGGACCCACUAUUUUUCAAUAUUUUUAAUAAAACACAAUGGGUGAAUUCUAUCUGGCCCUGGAGACUUGAAGGUUUUGAACGAAAAUACAGCAUUGAUUAUUUCAUAGGGCAUUAUACGGUUGUCAAGGGAAUUCAGAUUCACCUUACUAAAGCUAGUCGGAUUAUUCGUAAUGUCAAGCCAGUUGGUGUAUUGGUGGGAGGUUGUGAAAGCAUUCAGGAAAAAUUGAUAGGUGUGAUUUAAGAUUUCAGUUGGUUCAUUGAUCCAAACAUUUGCCGCAUUUUUAAAAUGAGUGAUCUUAUUCCUCUUUCUUUUGUUAGUGGACAUGAUAUGAAAAAAUUUAGUGUUGGAAUCUCCAUCCUGAGUCCAUGAGAUUCUAGCUCUUAGUUUUCAAUAGUCAUCUUCUUUUUUCAGGAAAUUGUUAUAAUUAGAUUGCAAUUAUAGGAAGAUACUGUGUGGGAAGUGAUUGGAAUUUUCAAUUCCUUUAAAUGUAGCCAAAAUUCUUUUUUCUUCCUAAAUAUAUCUCUAAAAAAAUUAUUUUUCAAAUCCUUAACGCUAUUAAGAAAGGAUUUUGUAGCUUGUUGGUAAUUUGGACAUAUCCAUGAAUUGAUAAAUAAUAUUAAAAUCGGGGUGCCUACACAAAAUAUUUCUAGUCUAAAAAGGAUUUUGAAGGGAUAAGUUAGGUUUUGGGAUUAUUUCAAGUAAUAGAGGAUUAUGAUCGGAGUGGGUUUUGGAAAGAUGGGAUAUAAUGGCAUUAGGGAACCAAUUAAUCCAUUCACUAUUAGCAUACAUUUUGUCAAGUCUUUCAUGAUAAGGUUUUUUUUUCCUACGGUUGGUCCAAGUAAGCUUGCACCCAUUAUAACCUAGGUCUAUGAGACCACAUCUAUUGAUGCAAUUCCAGAGAUAAUUAGCCUGGUUCGUGUUAAUAGAAUUUCCACCAAAUUUUUAUUUGUAACGAUCCAAAUGGUCAUCAUCGUAAUUCUCCAUUUCUCUGUACUUUCAAUACCUUGAAAACCUCUUAUUCGGUCGACUAGAUUUUCAUGUGCAGUCGGGUACGAAGCCGGAAAGUUUUAUGUGGAAAUAUAUGAACUCAGUGUUAAAAACUAUGAAUUUUGAUAAUAAUAUUGAUGUAGUUGACUUUGGUCAAUAUGUUGGAUAAACGGAUCCAGACACGUGAUGUGACGGUCCCAUUCGGUCCGUAGAAAAAUAUGGAACUCAGGCGUAUUCCCAGAAUCGAAAUCCAAGGUUCCAGGCCCGAGGAAAGAAUUUUUUCGUGAAAUUAUUUUCUAAAAAUGUUUAAGGAAAAUAAAAAUGAAAUUUGAUAAAGCAUUAGUAUCGGGCUCGUAUUUUGGUUCUGACACUCGGUACAAGUCAUAUAUGUGGUUUAAGCGCUUCUUGUAAAAGUUGGUCGAAAUCGGACGUCAUUUGACGUGUUUCAGACAAAAAAUGGAAAAUUUGGAAGUUAUUAACAUUGAAAUGAAAAUUAUGACUUUUGGGGGUUGAUUCAUUGAAUUUGAUGUUAUUUUAGUGAUUUGAUCACUCGAUCAAGUUCGUAGGAGAGUUAGUGUGUAUAUUUGGUUGGGAGCCCCGAGGGCUCGGGAGUGAGUUCGGGGUGGUUUUGUUCUUAAUAACUUAGCAAAUUUUCUGCAAAUUUUGCACAUACCCAGUACUCUAUGCGAACGCACAGGAGUCUCGCAUUCACAAUGCCUUAAGACCCCAGCCGUCUUCGCGUUUCACGGAAGCCCACCGCGUUCUCAUAGCUUUAAACAACCUGGGGCUAUAUUCUUCUACGCAUUCGCAUACCCCUUCGCGACACGUAUAACAAACCUGACCCCCCCCCCUAGUUUUCCUCUAUAUGUUCGCAUAAGUCCUUCACGUUCACAUUGUUUAGUCGGCCAGUCUUCUUCACGAACGCUACUUGGUACUGCGUUCACAUAGUGUUAUUUCCUUCAGUGAAUUAUUUAUAAAUAAAAAAGAACACUUCAACUACGGGUUUAGGCCAUUUUUCACACGAUCACUCUUCUCCCUCAAGCUCUAAGGCUCCAUUGAAGCCUCUCUUCUUCAAGACCUCUUGAGUAAGUAAUUUCCCACUUAUUUCCUUCACUUUUCUUCAUAUAUUAUGAAUUCCUAGACCUAAAAAUGUGAAAUCAACGUAGAAAUUAGGACUUUAGGGUAGAGUUUAGUUUUUGGGAUUUUGGGCAAUUCAACCUCAAUUUGAGGUCGAAUCUUGAAAAAAAUUGCAUAUUUAAACUCGAGGGGUUAUAGGUGAUUCGAUUUUGGUCCGAGCCUCGAGUUUCCAUGUGGUCCCGAUGUCGAAUUUUGGUAUUUCUGGAAGAAUGAUAGGAAAUUCAUGUAGGUUAUGGAAUUGUGUUUUUAAGCCGUUAUUGAUAAUAUUGAACUAAUUAUGGCUAGAUAUCGUUGUUUCAGAGUUGGAUUUUAGAGAAAAGGCGGUGUUAGAGGCUUGAUUGCUAUUUUCGGAUCGAGGUAAGUGUUUGAUCUAACUUUGGCUUGAGGGAAUAAGAUUAGGAUAUUCUUUGCUAUGUGCUAAUUUUGGAGUACGGUGUAUAGGCAUUAUGACAGUUAUCUAUGCACCAGAAUCUAGCAUGACCAUGAGUCUUAAUUGCUUUUAAUUUGAAUGAUGUGAUGCGGCUUCUUGUUGAAAUUCAUUUAGUUCACAUGAUAUGAACAGUUGAGGAUAAAUAGUGAUUUGUAUAAUUUUGGAGCAUUGGCUCAAUUUGGAACUUGUUGGCGGCUAAGUGUUUAAAAGAUAAAGUACUGUGAGUGUUCCCUUGCUAGGAUUUAGGUAUUUGUUGAAUUCUCCCUUUCCGGGAUAGUUGGUCUGUUAGUUGUAUUCUCUUGUCGGGAUUCCUUGUAUUUUGUUGUUAUUCCCCUCGCACUUGAGUUGCGAUUAUUUGUUUGUUUGGGUGAGAUCUUGUUGUUAAAUAUUGAGGAUCGGGUUGCAGCCGCAACGGUAUUGAUUGUUGAGGAUCGGGUUGCACGCCACAACUGUAUUGAUUGUUGAGGAUCAGGUUGCACGCCACAACAAAUAUAUAAUUUAGGAUCGGGUUGCUCACCGCAACAGAUGUAUAAUUGAGUAUCAGGUUGUUCGCCGCAACAGAUAUAUAAUUGAGGAUCGGGAUGGAGGGAGGUGCUAUGGAGGUGCUUGGAGGCGAAGAGCGUGCCAGAAGCCUACAUCAGAGUAAUNNNNNNNNNNNNNNNNNNNNNNNNNNNNNNNNNNNNNNNNNNNNNNNNNNNNNNNNNNNNNNNNNNNNNNNNNNNNNNNNNNNNNNNNNNNNNNNNNNNNNNNNNNNNNNNNNNNNNNNNNNNNNNNNNNNNNNNNNNNNNNNNNNNNNNNNNAUUUUCUAGUGGUUAUGGGGCUCCAUCAAGGAUCGGCGCUUAGCCCUCUCUUGUUUGCCUUGGUGAUGGAUGCUCUAACCCGUCAUAUUCAAGGGAAUAUGCCUUGGUGUAUGCUAUUUGUUGAUGACAUAGUUUUGACAGAUGAGACGAGGGUCGGUGUUAAUGAGAGGUUAGAGGUAUGGAGACAGACUCUCGAGUCUAAGGUUUCAAAAUAAGCAGAUCUAAAAAAGAAUACCUGGAGUGCAAGUUUAGCGCCGAACUGAGCGAAGUAGGCAGAGACGUGAUGAUUGGAUCUCAGGUCAUCUCCAAGAGAGACAGUGUCAGAUAUCUUGGGUCGGUGAUUCAGGGGGACAGAGAGAUUGACGGGGAUGUCACUCAUCGUAUAGGAGCGGGGUGGAUGAAGUGGAGGCUUGCAUCAGGAGUCCUGUGUGACAAGAAAGUUACACAAAAACUCAAGGGGAAAUUUUAUAGAGCUGUGGUUAGACCUACCAUGUUGUAUGGGGCAGAGUGUUGGCCAGUGAAGAACUCUCAUGUUCAGAGAAUGAAGGUUGCGGAGAUAAGAAUGCUCAUGUGGAUGUGCGUGCUCACUAGGUUAGAUAAGAUUAAGAAUGAAGUUAUUCGAGAGAAGGUUGGGGUGGCCCCGGUUGAUGAGAAGAUGCGAGAAGCGAGGCUGAGGUGGUUCGGGCAUGUGUGGAGGAGAAGUCCUGAUGCCCCCAUGAGGAGUUGUGAGCGACUGGCGAUGGUCGGCGUACGGCGAGGCAGACGGAGGCCUAAGAGGUAUUGGGGAGAGGAUUUUAGGCAUGACAUGGCUAGAAUGCGGGUUUCUGAGGACAUGACCCUUGAUAGGAAAGUCUGGAGGUCUAGUAUCAGGGUUGUAAGAUAAGGGCCCCUACAGUUUUUCGUACUCCUCGCCGGGGGUUUGGUGAGGCUUGGCAGGGAUAUCCAUAGAUGAUUUGAGUAUUGGAUUGUGUCCCCCUUAUGGUAGUUAUUUAUGGUAGUUACUGUCUGAUAUUAUUGCAUGCUAUUUUAUUUAUGGUUCUUAUGUUUAGAUAAUUAUUUACUCUAUCUCUGCUGAAGUUACUAAUGCUCUUUUGUUUUUGUUUUUGUUUUUGUCGUUCCUUUCCUUCACUGAGCCGAGGCUCGAUUGGAAACGGCCUCUCUGCCCUUUCGGGUAGGGGUAAGGCCCGUCUACAUAUUACCCUCNNNNNNNNNNNNNNNNNNNNNNNNNNNNNNNNNNNNNNNNNNNNNNNNNNNNNNNNNNNNNNNNNNNNNNNNNNNNNNNNNNNNNNNNNNNNNNNNNNNNNNNNNNNNNNNNNNNNNNNNNNNNNNNNNNNNNNNNNNNNNNNCCUACUCCCCUCGCACUUGAGUUGCUGUUGUUGUUGAGUGAAUUUUUAGUAUUAAACAUUGAGGAUCGGGUUGCAUGCCGCAACUGUUGUUGUUGUUGAUCGGGUUGCUCGCCGCAACAGAUAUAUUUGAGGAUCGGGUUGCUCGCCGCAAUAUAUAUAUUAGAGGACCGGGUUGCUCGCCACAAUGGAUUAAGUGUGCUUGAUUUCAUAUGCAGAGUUUCCUGUUUUUCCUUAUCAGUUAUUGUUGUGUUUUUUUACUUCUUAUCCAAUAAUUGUAUAUUAAAUUGUCUUACCCCACAACAUGUUUCCCCUUCUUAACUGCUAAAUAGAAUGUAUUUUCCUAUUAUUGAACAUACGUCUGUACAGGUUAUUUGUGGUAGGUCAUGUCUAGCCUCGUCACUACCUCGCAGGGGUUAGGCCAGGCACUUACCAACAUAUAGGGUCGGUUGUGCUGAUUCUACACUCUGCUCUCUUUUGCGCAGAUACAGGUUUCGGGCAGCAGUAGCAGCAGUAGUGCGAGUGUUGGCAUUCCGCUCAGCGAGAUACCGAGGUAGCCUUGUAGACGUCCGCGGGACCCAGCGUCUCCUUUAUCUUUUAUUCAGUCUGUUAUCUCAUGCAUUCGAGAUAAACGGUUUUAUAUUUCUUUCGAACAGUUGUGUUUAGUAAAUUCUUAGCAGUUCGUGAGUAGUGACACCAGAUACUAGGUAGAGGUGUAUUUUAAAACUUCCACAUUUCUUUCAGAGAAUUAUAUUUGAGACUUCCGUUUUUGUGUUAAAUGUUUUAAUAUUGUUAAUAUUGUUGAUUGUUCGUUAAAGAAGUAUAUGAUAUUUUGCUUGCCUAGCUCCUAUUAGUAGGUGCCAUCACGACUCCCGAUGGUGGGAAAUCCGAGUCGUGACAUUAUUAGAUCUAAGGACAUCAUUAAAAUCUCCCCAACUAACCAUGUACCGUUGAAAGAUUUAUGCAUAUUAAUAAGGUUGUCCCAUAGUUGAUAUCUAUUAUUUAUAUUAGUACUAGCAUAGAUAUAUGUAAAUAAACAAGAUUUAUGGGUAAGGAAUACCUCAAUAGUUGCACUGAUUUUUACGCACGAAACUGUGAACAUUGACUAGGGUGUGAUCCCACAAGAUAACUAAUCCACCCAAUUGACUCUGAGCCGGAAUUUUAAUCAUAUCAGAAAACCCUUAUGGAUUAAGAAGAGGCAUAUAGUUGUCCACUUUUGUUUCCAAGAGUGUUACCAUGUAGGGAUGAUGAGUAUUAACCAUAUCUCUAAAGUUUAACCUAAAUAUGUCAUUGUUUUCAUCUCUAAUAUUCCAUAUAAUGAAAUUGAUAGGUCUAUUUAUCAUGAUGUUCCAGCUCUAAAGGUCUCCAUUCUCCAGCACUCUUGGUCCAUGUAUUGGGUUCCUUCUCUGGAAUGGAACCAAGAUCAUUGCAUGUUGCCCUAUGGUCGGAUCUGCCGGUGACCUUAUAUCCAUUGUACAAUUGUAGAGAGCUAUUGAACAUUUAAGUAUCCGCCUAUGCUCUUGCAACUCCAUGAAGAUGAAUACUUUUACCUCUUUGAGAUUUGAAUCCUCGAGUAUUGAUUCUAGGAUUGAAUUGCAUUCCACUGCUUCCCCCAUUAUUUAUGUUUGUGGAAUGUUUGGUGGUGUAUUUGAAUGUGUUUGUGGGUGGGAUGGUCCUGGAUGGUGAAACUGGGGUGCAUGAUGAACAUUUGGAUUUUGACCUUGGUUUGCAUGUGGAUACUAGGGUGUGAAUACUGGGUUGAUAUUGGUCAUCACUUCCGUAGUGAAGAAUGGAAGAUCCAUCAAAGGAUUUGCAUUUUGUAUUGGGACAAAAUAUGGUGGAAGACUCCACUGUCCCAUCAUCAUUUGAGUUAAGUUGGGUGAUAUAUUUGGGGCUACUGGAUGAAGAAUAUUAUUCAACCACACAUGGUUCAUGAAGUUAUUCAUUGCCAUUUGGAUUCCUUCCGAGAUUAGCUGGGCUAGGUAGUGGGAGUUUUGUACUACUAUUAUUAUCUCCCUUCCAUUCAACAUUAUAUUGAAGGAUAUGACAUAGACCAUUAGACCCAACUACACCCAUGAUAAAGUUUGGUAGUUGUAUAGAAGUGGAGAUUGGAUGAAUAUGGUAGGGGUGUUUUUUGUUGGAGUAUUGGUAGGAGGUUGAUUUUCUAUAUUCAGAGGUCUUUGUUGGCAUAUGAUCUGGAUGAGGCGAUAUCGCCUUCUGUUGGGAAAGGGAAGCCUUGGCAUUGUUGGUUAGAGGAUUAUUACUUAAAAUAUAUGUUAGGACUGUAUCAGAACCUUAAGAAUGUACUUCUUUGCCAAUAGUUGUUUGCUCAGUUUGCAUGGCGUUUGGAAGGAGUAGCAUACUGGAUUUAUCAGGUAAGGAAAUGGAUUGGGCUUGGAUUACGUGUUGGAAAAUAUUAGCCAUGUAGAGGAGGGUAGCCUAUUUUGAGACGGGUUUGCAAUAUCAUUACUGGCAUGCAACACAAAAUUAUAAGGAUUUAUUGGUUGAUUUGGGGAGGUGGCUGAUUUAGUACAUAUUUUAUAAGUAUUAUUAGAAGAGUCAGUAGUGUUAUGUGACACGUGUCCUAUAGAAGUUUCAAUAAUGUGAGUAGUAUUAGAGUUUAACUUUUUUGUUUCAACCUCCGAUGAGUGGUUUGUGGUUUUAUCCAAAACCAUGUUCUGCUUCAUUAGAGCAGUAAAGUGAUUAUUUGUUUGGAUAUUGUUGUUUCUGAUAGAGUGAGAUUCGUUUCUCAUAGGUUUUCAGUAGCAUUUCAGUAGGUUACUGUGCUUAGAGCGAGAAUUGUAAUUAAAAACUUGGGAGGCUAGGAACUUACCUGUUUUGGCAUCAAAAAUAUAUACAUUGAUACAUGUAGCCUUAGUUGAUUAUGUUCCUCUGUUAGUAGCAGUAAAGUUCUUUUUUUAUUGUUGAAGGUAACUGUCUUCCAUUAUACCUUCUCUUUGGGGAGAUGUUCUUGCUCCUGACCACUCUGUUCUUUUACGCUACAAUUUUUAGAUGAUGAGGUUGUUGGACUCUGUGUCUUUAUAUUGCACUGUCUAGUUGUAUGACCUAGAUCACCACAACUUUUACAAAGAAGAUUUUCUCCUUUGUAUAGGAUUUGAUGUUUGUGAGUGCUUAUCCACACGUUGGAUUUUACUGAUUUAUCUAGAGGUAGAUCUACGCAGAGCCUGGCAUAACGACCCUUAAAGCCACUGAUGUGCAAGCAUCCACUUUGAGUAAUCUGCCUACCGUGGUUUCUACUUUUUUAAGAAUUUCUUCAUCAUAGAAUUAUGUGCGAAGAUGAGGUAGGCGAAUUCAAAUUAUAGUGAAAAUUUAUUUGGCAGUAGCAGGAACAAAAUUUGGUUCCCAGCAUUGUACUGAAAGGAAGUGGCCAAACACAAACCAUGGCCCUUUUUGUAAUAUGUUCUCCAAGUUCUCCUCUUUGUUGAAUUUUACUAUGUAAUAUUGUUUACCAAGAUUGAUUAGGGGGAAAGCUUCAGUUUGUUUCCAAAAAUCUAUUAGUUUGCGUUUGAGAACUUGGUGAAAGAUUUUUUUGCCUAGUAAAUUUAUUAUAACUGAGAAUCUCCUAGGGUAGUAAAUACAUAGUUUGUAUUCCCCACUUAUGGAAACUUUAUAUUCUCCUUCAGGAUCCUCAGAAGCCUUUUCAUCUUCUUCCUCGUUUGUGUCUAUUGCCAUUGGUAAUAAGUAUGUCGGUGGCGUUACUAUUGACAAUGUUUCCUUAUGCUCAUUGGAUAGUAGCUUGUCUUUUAAAGAGACGGAUAUAGGAUUGAUUAAUUGUGGUAAAAUACAUUUUUAUUUUAAUUUCCACGCGAUGUUUGUGCUUAAUUAUGACUUUCCACUCAAUAUCUGAUAAUCGAUUUAGUGUCCCAAUUAAUCAUGAUUCGAAUAGAGUUAGGCUCAUUGUUACGACCCAAAGGGUCAUCACUGUAACUCUUCCUUUUACCGUGCUUCCGAGGCCUUGAAAAACUUACAUUUAGUUGCCUUGUUUUGUGUGUGUCGCCCUGGCGCGAGGCUGGAAAGACUUUAUUUGUAUUAUGGGUGAAAUUUUAAGGAUUUUGAUAUUAAUAUUGCUUAAGUUGACUUCAGUUAAAAUUUUGGGUAAACGGACCAAGGCCCGUGAUGUGUCGGUCCCGGAGGGUCCGUACGAAAGUAUGGGACUUGGGGGCGUGUCCGGAAUAGAAUUUCGAGGUCCCAAGUCCGAGAAAUGAAUUUUUUAUAAAAUUAUUUUUUCGAAAAUGAUAUAGAAUUUUAAAAAUAAAAUGAACUAGAAAAUAUAGAUAUCGGGCCCGUAUUUUGAUUCUGGUUCCCUGUACAAGUCUUAAAUAUGUGUUAAGCACUAUAUGCAAAGUUUGGUUGGAAAUGGAUGUCGUUUGACAUGUUUCGGACGUAAAAUGAGAAACUUGAAGUUUAUGAAAGUUGAAGGAAGAAUCGUGUAUUUUGAGGCUUGAUCCAUAGAUUUUGAUAUUGUUUUGGCGAUUUGACCACACGAUCAAGUCAGUAUGAUAUUUUUGAGAUCGUGUGUAUGUUUGGUUUGGAGCCCCGAGGGCUCGAGUGAGUUUUGGGUGAGGCCUAGAAGGUAUUAUACUUAGAGAAAACAGGUCAAGGUGUUGCAGACACCAACGCGGUCGCGGUCAUUUCCGCGCGGUCCUCGCAGGAGCCGCGCAGUCGCGAUGCCUUUCUGUGUAGUCCGCGUUGCUGAGACUGAGGGUUAGGGGUAUUAGGUCAACCAGCGCGGCCGCGCACCAGAUUAGUGCGGUCCGCGCUAGGUGGGUUCAGAGAGCCCACAAUUUUCCUCCCCCGAUGUGGCCGCGGUGCGUUUUUGCGCGGUCCGCGCCAGUCACCAGAAAAGUAUUAAAACUCAAGAUUUUCAGCCAUUUUUUACUUUUCAAAAACCCAAAAUCUAAGAGGCGAUUUUCCAAACAACUUUUCUUCUCCAAAAUGAUUAAUAAGUGAUUCUAACAUAAUUUUCUUAUUCCAUAACAUCUUUUAACAUGAUUUUAACUUCAAUCAAAGGUUUUCAUAAAUAGGAAUUUGGGUUUUGGUAGAACUUAAGUAUUUCUAAAUUUGGGGAGUUGGACCUCAAUUUGGAUCCAAUUUCAAAACCAAUCAUAUAUUUGGAUUCGUGGGGGAAUGGGUAAUCGGGUUCUUGUCCGAACCUCGAGUUUCUACAACGUGGGCCCGGGGGCAUUUUUGACCUUUUUGGAAAAAAAACUUGUAAAAACUAUUUUCAUGCAUUGGGUUUAGUUCCAAUAGUAGUUACUGAUGUAUUUAAGUAAUUGUUGCUAGAAUCGAGCGGUUUGGUGGUGGAACCAAGGGGUAAAGCUGUUCUAGAAGCUUGAGUCGAGUUUGGAGCUUCCGCGGUAAGUGUUUGUUCUAACUUUGGCUUGAGGGAAUAGGAUUUGGUUGUUGUUUGCUAUUUGUUAAUUAUUGAGUACGGUGUAUAGUCAUGGUGACGAGCAUCUAUACACCGGAGUCUAGCAUGACUGUGAGUCUUAAUUGUGUGUAUUCGAUUUUUGUGAUACCUCUUCCUUGUUUGAUUAAUAAGUUUUAUAUAAUCUGAAAGGUUUGAGGAAUAAUUAUGAUUUGUACAUUAUUGGAGUAUUGGCUCGAAUGAGAAUAUGAUAACUAAGAAAGAAGCGAUCAAAAGAUAAAGUGUUGUAAUUAUUCCCUUGCUGGACUUAUUUGUUAAUUUGUUCUCCCUUGUUGGGAUAUUUAAUAUUGUUAUUUAUCCCCUCACCGCUAUUGGUUGUGACUGUUGAUUGGGUGAGAAAAAGCGAUUAUGCAAGAAGGAUCAUUCCAUGCCAUGUUUUGAUAAUUAUGCACGAAGGGUCAUUCCGGGUCAUAUUUUGAUAAUUAUGCAUGAAGGGCCAUUCCGUGCCAUGUUUGAAUAAUUGAAGCGCGAAGGGUCAUUCCGUGUCUUGAUAUGAGAGUUAUGUGAGGAAAAUCACGAAGGAUAAUGCCGUGCACUUUAUUUGAUUUGGUGAGAAUGAGAGUAAAAGCACGAAGGUUAGUGUCGUGCAGUUGUUGAUUUACGUGUUCUCUUUAAUUAAUGUUAUUGUACAGUUCCAUCUCUUUGUUCGUUGAUCCUAUAUCUGAAUUGUUACACCGCGUAGCAUGCUCCCCUCCCUAUUAGCUGUAUAAAUUGUGUAUAGUUUUUUCCGCUAUUGCAUAUAUAUCUGCAUAGGUUCUCGGUAGGUCCUGUCUAGCCUCGUCACUACUUCGCCGGGGUUAGGCCAGGCACUUACCAGCACACAGGGGCAAUCCCAAGUAGACUCAAGUGGGUUUAUAUGAACCCGGUUCAUCGAAAAAUAACACUGUAUAUAUAGGUAUAUUUUUGUUGUUUUCGAACAAGUAAUGGUAUAUAUAUAAUUUUGAACCAACUUCAAACUAGUAAAAUGCCUAGUUUGUUAGCAAAGAGGGUUCAAAUUUUUCACAUGGUCUUGAGUUCAAAACCAGCUAGUCAUAUAUGACCUUCAAUUUUUUUUUUGAACCCGCUUGAUAGAAAUUCUGGGUCCGCCACGGGGUCAGUUGUGCUGAUGCUACACUAUGUUCAUCUUUUUCACAAAUCCAGGAGAAGCUUUUGGACCACAGCAACAGUAUUGAUCGGGAGCUGUCUUCAGUCCAGGGACUGGCGAGGUAGCCUAGCUGACGUCCGCAUGCCGGAGUCCCUUUCUUUGUUAUUAGUUUGUUUUUCUUUGUAUCGAGACAAACACUGAUAUUUCAUUCAGAAUUUUGUUCUUAUUACUCUAUAGUAGUUUGUGAGUUAGUGACACAAGACUCUGGGUAGAUAUGUUUUUCGAAACUUCCGCAUUUAACUUUCUGUUAUCUAAGCUGUAAAGACUUCCGCUUAUUUAAUUAUUUUCGUUUUAUUCCUAUUGUUGCGAAUGUUCUCAAGGAAUGUUUAAUUGUUGGCUUGUCUAGUUCUAACAGUAAACAUCAUUACGAUUUCCGAUGGUAGAAAAUUCGGAUCGUGACACUCAUUGAAAGGGACGCAUUUCCUAUCAAAGAAUUUUUUCUAUUCCCAGUGUUCGAACUUGAUUCAAUAUUAUUCGCACUUAACUUUUUGGUGGAAAGAGGUGUUUUAAAUUUUCAAUCCAAAAACAUAAAGAGGCAGGGCAAUAAACUCUUAGCUAGAACUACAAAAGCAUAUCACCACAUACCAUGUCUUUGGAUCUAGGACAUCAGACGGGGACUCGUGUAGGAGUUUUUUAAUUCUCAAAAUAUUAAAAUAAAAUAUUAUAUAUAUAUAUAUAUAUAUANNNUAUAUAUAUAUAUAUAUAUAUAUAUAUAUAUAUAUAUAUAUAACACAUGUCUAUAGCUCCCAAUCAACAUGUAGAGAAAAAUUUUGAAUAAUGGAAAGUGUAUAGAAGGAUAAAACAAAAAUACCUAAGUGGAUGAGCAUGUGCUUAACAUUUUGCAGACAGUAGAAGACCUUUGAAUUCCACAUAAUUAGCUCUCUCUUGCUUUUAAGUAUGGAGAGAAUCUUUAUAUCUUCAUAAACUUACUUAGUAAGGGAUAUUAUAGGAAAGACCAAAUAAGGGAAAUAUGAUCAAAAUCCUUCUUUAUGCAUAUAACCCUUUAGGCUUUUGAAUAGGCAUAAAAAUUUUCUUGUCCAUCAUAAUCACUUGGUUAAAUGGACUGGAA